rnacentral:rRNA from 1 species
AUGGGAACGCGAAGAACCUUACCUAGACUUGACAUCCCCUGAAUAACGUAGAGAUACGCGAAGCCCUUCGGGCAGGGAGACAGGUGGUGCAUGGUUGUCGUCAGCUCGUGUCGUGAGAUGUUGGGUUAAGUCCCGCAACGAGCGCAACCCUUAUCAUUAGUUGCUACCAUUUAGUUGAGCACUCUAGUGAGACUGCCCGGGUUAACCGGGAGGAAGGCGGGGAUGACGUCAAAUCAUCAUGCCCCUUAUGUCUAGGGCUACACACGUGCUACAAUGGUGAGAACAACGAGAUGCAAUACCCGCGAAGUGGAGCAAAAACUUCAAAACUCAUCUCAGUUCGGAUUGUAGGCUGAAACUCGCCUACAUGAAGUUGGAGUUGCUAGUAAUCGCGAAUCAGAAUGUCGCGGUGAAUACGUUCCCGGGUCUUGUACACACCG